GGAACCUUACCUGGGCUAGAAUGUAUUUUGCCACCUUGAGAAAUUGAGGGUUCCUUCGGGACGGAAUACAAGGUGCUGCAUGGCUGUCGUCAGCUCGUGCCGUGAGGUGUUGGGUUAAGUCCUAUAACGAGCGAAACCCUUUUACUUAAUUGCCAGCACGUAAUGGUGGGGACUUUAAGUAGACUGCCCGUGUAAGCGGGAGGAAGGAGAGGAUGAGGUCAAGUCAUCAUGGCCUUUAUGCCCAGGGCUACACACGUACUACAAUGGCAUGUACAAAGGGAAGCUACUUGGUAAYAAGAUGCAAAUCUUAAAAGCAUGUCUCAGUUCGGAUUGAGGUCUGCAAUUCGACCUCAUGAAGUUGGAAUCGCUAGUAAUCGCGUAUCAGCAAUGACGCGGUGAAUACGUUCUCGGACCUUGUACACACCGCCCAUCAAGCCAUGGGAGUUGGUAGAGCUUGAAAAACAGUGGC
rnacentral:rRNA from 1 species